UCGUGGAUGAUGAUUCAUGACCACCAAGUGCCACCUCCAAGCCGCUAAUUGGUGAUGCAAACCGAGUUUAUUUUAGCACACUCAAGUUUUCUGCUGUCGUUCGAGGAUUCACUGGAAAU
rnacentral:snoRNA from 1 species